rnacentral:misc_RNA from 1 species
CCCAACUAUCCCUAUUAAUCAUUACGUCAAUCCUAGAAACCAACAAAAUAGAAUCAAACGUCCUAUUUCAUUAUUCCAUGCUAAUGUAUUCAAGCGCGAGCCUGCUUUAAACACUCUAAUUUUUUCAAAGUAACAGUCCUGAUUCCCCAUGACAUCAAAUUAAUGACAUCAUGAUUCAUCAGAAGGGAGAAAUCAAUAAUACUAGUACGUACCAAUGGCACGACCAGCAUAUUAAUCCCGAAAUUCAACUACGAGCUUUUUAACUGCAACAACUUUAAUAUACGCUAUUGGAGCUGGAAUUACCGCGGCUGCUGGCACCAGACUUGCCCUCCAA